rnacentral:rRNA from 1 species
UACGAAGGGGGGCUAGCGUUGUUCGGAAUUACUGGGCGUAAAGCGCACGUAGGCGGAUUGUUAAGUGAGGGGUGAAAUCCCAGGGCUCAACCCUGGAACUGCCUCUCAUACUGGCAAUCUCGAGUUCGAGAGAGGUGAGUGGAAUUGCGAGUGUAGAGGUGAAAAUUCGUAGAUAUUCGCAGGAACACCAGUGGCGAAGGCGGCUCACUGGCUCGAUACUGACGCUGAGGUGCGAAAGCGUGGGGAGCAAACAGG